UACGGAGGGUGCAAGCGUUGUCCGGAUUUAUUGGGUUUAAAGGGUGCGUAGGCGGCUAAUUAAGUCAGCGGUGAAAUUCCACAGCUCAACUGUGGAACUGCCAUUGAUACUGGUUGGCUUGAGUACAGAUGAGGUAGGCGGAAUUGACAGUGUAGCGGUGAAAUGCUUAGAUAUUGUCAAGAACACCUAUUGCGAAGGCAGCUUACUAAGCUGUAACUGACGCUGAGGCACGAAAGCGUGGGGAGCAAACAGG
rnacentral:rRNA from 1 species